UUUUUUUUUUUUAACCACUGUGGUAUAUGAAUUCACUCCAGUUAAAGUCUCAGAUGUGGCAUGAAAUUUGGGGACAUGACUAUCCCAGGAUAUUUGAUAAACUCUCAGUUUGAGAGGCUUUAUGAAUAAAGCUCCUUGCUAAUUAAAAAGAUUUGAAUCAUGGUUUGGAGUUGCUUCUAUCAUUAUGUAAUGAGUUUCUCUUUGCUGGUAAAUAUGGAUGGAUAGAAGAAGCUUUGAUCUUAAGCUCCUUGAGAGUGAGUGCUCUCUUAUUCUUUGUAUACCUAAUACUUAGCAGUGCCCUGUAUAUAAUACAUAUUUAAGGAAAGCUUAUUGAGUGGAUAAAUGAAGUGGUCUAUUCCAUUCACCAUGCUUAAUUAGAUUAAGCCUAUUUCCCAAUAAAAUGCUUAGGGUAGAAUGCAGUAUGGUAUGGUAGGAAGAGCAGAUGCUUUUGAGUGGGACAGAUAGAUUUAAAUCCUAGCUUUGAUACCCAGCUGUGUGAAAGGAAAGCCACCUAAUCUCUCUGAACUGCAGCUUUCUUCUUGUGUUGUUAUACAAAUUAUAUAAGAUAAAAUAUGUAAAGUAUUUGAGAAUGUGCCUGGCACAUAAUGAGUAUUGAAACAUUUAAUUAUCUUCCCUUUCCUUUCAGGUACAUUGCUAAUUUCUUUCUUUUCAAUCAGUACUACAGAACAAAAUUGGCUCAGAUCCAUUUUGAGAAGAAAGAAUUUGUGGUAGUUACACUAUUUGUUCAAAUUUUCAAACCUGUUUUUCCCCCACCAGAAUAUGUACGUCCAAGCUCCCAUAUUUUGCCUGCUUCAAAAGAGCUUCUAUUGACUUCAGAAAAGGUUACCAACACUAGGAAAAGAAGUAGGGGAAUUUACUUUAUUUACCAUCAUUUUCCAAUUAAGUAAAAGUGGAAAAUUACAACACUUUCCAUUAGAUUAACGAUUCACAGACUUCAAAACACUGAUCUAUAUUCUCUCACUGCAAGCUCACAUUAGCCCCCACUUUCCUUAAAGCUAAGGAAACUGAGGGAGGAAAAAAGGGGAGCUGCCAAAUGUACAGAAUAAAACCAGACAUCGUGAGUUCUGACUUGUCCUGGGAUCUUUCCCAGCCCCACCCUAGGAUGCACUGCAUCCCGUGUUCUCCUUGGGAACUGUCAUUACAUGCUCACUAGUGCUCCCUGCCCUCCACUUUGGACGUUGCAUCUUGGAAGCAAGCCCUCUCCUGUUGCCAACGGAAUUGUGGUCUACUAGUUAAAGGAGACAACCAAGUCAUAAGUAGUGUUCAUUUUUUUGCUUUCUCAGUGACUCACAAUAAGACAUGUGGUGAGUUGUUCAGAAUUAACUACUUUUCCAAGGUUUUACAAAGACUAAAUGCCCAUGGUGGUAUUUUUAACAAUUCUGGUGAAGUUCUCAGUUUAUUUUCAACAUUAAGGAUGCUACAGCAAGUGUUACUGGAAUGGAAAAAUUGAAGCUCUCAUCUAUAGGAGUACAGACUCACAGUCUCCAUUAGAAACAGCUGUGCCCAUAAGUUUUUUUCUGUGAUGCAUUUAUUGACAUUCUUGUUGCAUUGCCAGUGCUAGCUGGUGGCCAGCUGUCCCUACCAUAUUUUAAUUAAAGAAGCUCCCACACCAUCAAGAAAUGAUCUGUGCAAAGACAUGUAAUACCUAUCUGCUGUUUUUCCUGUCUAGACCUUAAAC
ensembl:lncRNA